rnacentral:rRNA from 1 species
AACCCCUCACCUGAGAAUUUGUUGUGGGCUCAUAAUAAUAAUGGGAAUUUUACCACUAACUCUAUGUAUCGUGCGCUCACGCAUUUCAAGUUACCGGUGAGGAAUAAUAAGAAAAUUUGGUGGUCAGAGAUACCACUAAAAGUUAAAAUCUUCAUGUGGUAUCUUCGUAGGGGAGUUGUGCUAACCAAAGACAACCUUGCACGACGCAAUUGGCAAGGGAGUAAGAAAUGUUGUUUUUGUACUCAUGAUGAAACAAUCAUACACCUCUUUUUGCAAUGCAAUUUUGCACGUUCUACGUGGUCAGUCAUCCAAAUAGUGUCAAGUUUACAUCCGCCCACAAGUGUUGCCAAUAUUUUUUGUCACUGUUUGGACGGUAUUUCAAAUAGGUUCAAAACCCUGUUGAGGGUGGGAGUGUAUGCCUUACUAUGGUCGCUUUGGCUAUGUAGAAAUGAUUUUAUUUUUAAUGACAAAAAUGCUUCUCAUCUGCAGGCUAUUUUUCGUUGUACGCACUCGCUUCGUACAUGGUCUAUGCUACAACGAACGGAGGUCCAACCGUUGUUCAAGGGGGGUGUACGAGGUUGGAGCAGGUGGCUACGGAGGUUUUUACUAAACAUGGGUGGCAGCAUAAUCUCCGGAUCGGUCCAUCUCACCUUUCGACAUAGGCACACUGUUGGUCUAUAG